rnacentral:rRNA from 1 species
GGCCGUCCGAGUUGUAGUCUGGAGAAGCGUUUUCCGCGUCGGACCGUGUACAAGUUUCCUGGAACGGAGCGUCAUAGAGGGUGAGAAUCCCCGUCCUUUGACACGGACUACCGAUGCUUUGUGAUGCGCUCUCGAAGAGUCGAGUUGUUUGGGAAUGCCAGCUCAAAAUGGGUGGUGAAUUCCAUCUAAAGCUAAAUAUUGGCGAGAGACCGAUAGCGAACAAGUACCGUGAGGGAAAGAUGAAAAGCACUUUGGAAAGAGAGUUAAACAGUACGUGAAAUUGUUGAAAGGGAAACGCUUGAAGUCAGUCACGUCUGCCGGGACUCAGCCUUGCAAUCUUGCUUGGUGUACUUUCUGGUGGACGGGCCAGCAUCAAUUUUGACUGCCGGACAAAGGCUAGGGAAAUGUGGCACCUUCGGGUGUGUUAUAGUCCCUGGUCACAUACGGUGGUUGGGAUUGAGGAACUCAGCAUGCCUUUAUGGUCGGGGUUCGCCCACGUUCAUGCUUAGGAUGCUGGCGUAAUGGCUUUAAACGACCCGUCUUGAAACACGGACCAAGGAGUCUAACAUGCCCGCGAGUGUUCGGGUGGAAAACCCGUGCGCGUAAUGAAAGUGAAAGUUGGGACCUCUGUCGCGGAGGGCACCGACGCCCGGACCAGAACUUCUGUGACGGAUCUGCGGUAGAGCGUGUAUGUUGGGACCCGAAAGAUGGUGAACUAUGCCUGAAUAGGGUGAAGCCAGAGGAAACUCUGGUGGAGGCUCGUAGCGAUUCUGACGUGCAAAUCGAUCGUCAAAUUU